GACGAACGCUGGCGGCGUGCCUAAUACAUGCAAGUCGAGCGAGCGGAACCAACAGAUUUACUUCGGUAAUGACGUUGGGAAAGCGAGCGGCGGAUGGGUGAGUAACACGUGGGGAACCUGCCCCUAAGUCUGGGAUACCAUUUGGAAACAGGUGCUAAUACCGGAUAAUGCUUUUGUAGCGGCAUCGCUUGAAAGCCAAAGAUUUAUCGCUGAAAGAUGGUCUCGCGUCUGAUUAGCUAGUUGGUGAGGUAACGGCUCACCAAGGCGACGAUCAGUAGCCGGUCUGAGAGGAUGAACGGCCACAUUGGGACUGAGAUACGGCCCAG
rnacentral:rRNA from 1 species